UGUAACAGGUGGUUUGUCAAUAAACUAAAGUUUAUGUUCAUUGGUUGGCUCAAACAACUCUAGGUCCUAUAGAUAAUAUAUGCUUUACUUGCCUCAAACAUGUCGUUCUUUAGGUGAACCUAUUCCUGUUAUUUUCUUGGAUGUAAUCAUGUAAUUGGUGAGAGUGUUCCCCUUUCUGAAACUGAGUUGGAUGAUUUUACUUCGACUGGAACAGGGGAGCCUCCACUCUCAAAAGCAAAGUCUUGGGUUAAAACCACAGAUCCUUUAUCUGGAAAACCUGCUCAACGUGAAACAAGCACAAUGCCACAGUGGGCUGGUUCUUGCUGGUACUAUUUGAGAUUUAUGGACCCGAAUA